UACGUAGGGUGCAAGCGUUGUCCGGAAUUAUUGGGCGUAAAGAGCUCGUAGGCGGUUUGUCGCGUCUGCUGUGAAAACUCGGGGCUUAACUCCGGGCCUGCAGUGGGUACGGGCAGACUAGAGUGCGGUAGGGGAGACUGGAAUUCCUGGUGUAGCGGUGAAAUGCGCAGAUAUCAGGAGGAACACCGGUGGCGAAGGCGGGUCUCUGGGCCGAUACUGACGCUGAGGAGCGAAAGCGUGGGGGAGCGAACAGG
rnacentral:rRNA from 1 species